rnacentral:lncRNA from 1 species
UCGAAAUUAAGUAAACUUUUUAGUCCACACCAUAUUAAGGCAACAGACCCAUUUUUUUCUUUUUCUCUCUCUCUUCCUUCCUUUCUCUGUUGCCUUCAACGCCAUUUCUUUCUCUCUCUCCCUUGCUCUAACGUCGCAGCUAAAGCUCUCGUCGACGAGGUACGUUUUUGCUAAUUAGUGAAGAGUAAGUUGAAAUUACUGGUUAGAAUUUGUUAAUCUUUAACUGAAGUUCUAAUUUAAAGACACCCUAAUGAAGAACUUUUAAUAGUAUAUAUAUAUAUUCAAUCUCCUUUACACAUUUAUUCCAUAUGAAUUAUUCAAAUUAAUCGUAGAUUUUGAAUGUGGAAUGGUUAAACAAAAAGGGUAAACAAUUUAGUGGUAUACAUAGUGGUAACUGUUGCGCUGGACGGAUGUUGCGCUGGAUGUGUGGACUGACCCGAGGGGAUAGAGUUCGGAAUGAGACUAUCCGGGAGAAGGUUGGUGUGACUUCAGUGGAGUGUAAGAUGCGGGAAGCACGAUUGAGAUGGUUCGGACACGUGAAGAGGAGGGGCAUGGAUGCCCCGGUCCGUAGGUGUGAGAGGCUAGCGUUGGAUGGUUUUAGACGGGGUAGAGGUAGACCGAAGAAGUACUGGGGUGAGGUGAUUAGGCGGGACAUGGAACAGUUACAGCUCACCGAGGACAUGACCCUAGAUAGGAAGGUCUGGAAGACGCGAAUUACGGCAGAGGAUUAGGGCCUGUUCGGGUCGCUAAUGUAGGGAGGUAAUUGGUGGGGGUGUAUUCCUGGUAUGAUUCCGUAUUCAAUGUUCUGUUCCGUGUUCCGUGUUCUAUGUUUGUUACGAAUCUGUGUGCUUUCCUCUGCUUUAUAUUCCUGCUUUCCUGCUUUACUCUGUUUUAUAUUCCUUAUGGGUGCCGUAUCUAUGUUAUGUCAUCUGCUUCUGUGCUGUACUAUGUGUUUGUGUGAUAUCUCGUGACUUGAGCCGGGGGUCUUUCGGAAACAGCCUUUCUACUUCAUCAGAGGUAGAGGUAUGGACUGCGUACAUCUUACCCCCCCAGACCCCACUAAGUGGGAAUACACUGGGUUUGUUGUACAUAGUGGUAACUGUAUAUACUCAACGAAUUGUUUUCACAUCCCAAAGCACAUUUCUGCACAUUUUUCUUAUCUAGUGAUAUUUGGGGAUAUAAUGUUUCCUAUUCUAUUUAUGAUGGGUCAAAAUAGAGCCGUGUUUUGGGGAUUGAAUCCUAAAACACGCAUCUCGUCAUACAUCUUUCGCGCAUCGGGAUAUCUCUUUGCUUGAAAUAAUCCCUGGAAAAUAGUAGAGUAUGUUACAAUACUAGGUUUUAUUCAUUUUAGAUGCAUUUCUCUCAAGAGAUCUAUGGCUUUGUUUAUUCGCUUUUUGGUUGCAGUACCAAUUGAUUAGAAUGGUGUAGCUAGUAGUGUUAGGUUGAACACCUUUCUGUUGAAUGUAGCUAGUAGCCUUUUUUUAGAAUGUAGUUGUCAAAGGUAUUCCCAAAGUAUGAAUGUCUUUAAUGAUAUGAAUAACAACAGAGCAUUGCUUAAUCUUCGUAAUGAGCUUCAACACUUCAGUGAGGCUACAUGAGUUUAUAUAAAGACUAGUGAGGUUAUGAACUUCAACCUCAGUUCUAGAUCAGCUAAUUUAUGAGCAAAUAUUGUGGGUUGAUAGUUGAUGUUUUGCAUAUCGCCUUGAAACCAUUUUUUGGAGAUAUAGUAACAUUAACUUACUUGUGCAAUAGUUAACUUAAGAAACAUCUAAAUUUUGCAGAUCCACCAUAACACACAUUGACUUAAUUUUAUUCUAGCAACAAAGCAACUUAGCUAUUUAGCCUAUAUUAUGAUUUUACAGUUGACAAGUUAUAUCAAUUCCCAAAGUUCAACCUAAACAGUGAAUGUGUGCUGCUUUUUUUAACUUCGUACACAUUCCCUUAGUGUUUCACUCAUAAGAAAAUGUUUGUUUAACUACUAUAUUGCUUCAUUUGUUAAGUGGUCAGCAUCAAGUGAUAUAAUGUUGAUGCUAACCUUUUACUUUAUUUGUGAUAUAAUAUUUUCAUUAUGAACAGGUUGGGUUGCUAUUUCUUGAAAAAAAAGGUUGGUUGCUAUUUUUCGACAAUCACUUGCCUCUUUCUCUUCAAAUUAGGUCAAAUAAAGGUAAGUUUAUUUCUCUCUAUUUUUUUAUAGUGAAGGCUUUAUAUGUAAUGUAAUGGUGGGAUUAUUUGUUGUAGAUGGCUUUUAAAGCCAUAGGUUUUGUGAUGAUUAUAUGAUGUGAGAGGGACAUGCGACGCCUUUACUUAUUAGCUUUAUUAAAUUUAUUGAAUUACCUGACUUAUAUUACAAUUGAGAAUGUGAACUAGUGAUUAGAAAAUGGUUACAUGUAGUCACUUGAAAUGUGAAGUUAUGAUUUGAAAAUUAUUAAGUGUAGUUACUUGAAAUUGUGAACUUGUGACUUGAAAAUGAUUAGUUAAAUGGGUACUUGAAAUUGUGAACUUGUGACUUGAAAAUGGUUAAGUGUAGUCUCUUGAAAUGUGAAGUUAUUAUUUAAAAAUGAUUGUGUUGUAGUUACUGGAAAUUGUGAACUUGUGACUUGAAAAUGUGUAAGUGUAGCUACUUGAAAUGUGAAAUUAAUGAUUUGAAAAUGGUUAAGUGUAGUUACUUGAGAUUGUGAACUUAUGACUUGAAAAUUGUUAAGUGUAGCUACUUGAAUUGUGAAGUUAAUGACUUGAAAAUGCUUAAGUGUAGUUACUUGAAAUUAUGAACUUGUGACUUGAAAAUGGUUAAGUGUAGUCACUUGAAAUUGUGAACUUGUGACUUGAAAAUGAUUAAGUGUAGCUACUUGAAUUGUGAAGUUAAUGACUUGAAAAUGCUUAAGUGUAGAUACUUGAAAUUGUGACCUUGUGACUUGAAAAUGGUUAACACGAUUUAAGUGUAGUCACUUGAAAUGUGAACUAAUGACUUCAUUUUUAUAUGUUUUAAUGUAAACUUGCAUAUUAUUGAAUAUCUAUAUUUUUGUAGAUGGAUCAUCGUAUCAUUUGUGGAUGUAUGAUAUGGAUUAUGAAAAAGUUGGUGGUUUAAAACCCCCAUAUCUUAAUGGUAUCAGAGGUUUUAUUGAUCAUGUUAUGUCACUCGAUCUAUAUCAAAAAAAUAGAGUGCUUAGGUGUCCUUGUAGUUCAUGUAGGUGCUUGAAGUUUUUUCAACCAUAUAUAGUUAUGACCCAUCUCUAUCGUAAUGGAUUCAAGCCAAAAUACUUUGUACGGGUCGAUCACAGAGAGAGAGAUAGGUUGAAUGGUAUAUUUUAUAAUUCAUUGCAUGUGGAUGAAUAUGACAUGCUUGUACAUGGUCGACAUGCUAGGAUUCAAUAUGUUAGAGUUCAACAUAGGAUGCAACAUGAUAGGGUACAACAUGAUGAUAGAAUUCAUGAAAUGGACAAUGAUGCUUUUGAAAUUGGGGAUGGAUGGAACCCGAAUAGAAUUUAAAAGAAAAUCCCAAUGAAGAAGCAAGAGGUUUCUAUCAAUAAUUAGAAAAGGCUAGUCACCCACUAUGUGACGGGAGUCUGCAUUCUACUUUAUCUGUUGCAGUUAAAUUAAUGAGUAUCAAAUUUGAUUGGAAUGUUGCUCAAGCUGCUAUGGACUCUAUGGUUGGUUUUUUGGGUGAACUAGUAAUUCCAGAGUUGAACAUACCUCAGAAUUUUUAUCAAGAAAAGAAAUUGGUUUCCAAGUUGGGAUUGUCAUAUACUAGAAUCCAUUGUUGUAUAAAUAGUUGUAUGUUGUUCUAUAAGAACGAUGCUGAAUUAGAAAAUUGUAAGUUUUGUGGACAUGCUUGUUAUAAGCAGACUCCCGGUAGAAAGAUGGUUUCUAUAAAAGCAAUACACUAUUUACCUCUUAUACCUAGGCUAAAGAGGUUAUAUGCUUCGAUGAAUUCUGCCUCACACAUAAAAUGGCACCAUGAAAAUAGAAGGUCACUAGGUGUCUUCUCUCAUCCAUCAGAUGGAUAAGCUUGGAAGCAUUUCGAUGGAACUUAUCGUGAUUUUGCUAGUGAACCAAGAAAUGUUAGAUUGGGGUUGUGUGCAGAUGGUUUCAUACCAUUCUUUAAUUCUAGCACACCUUAUUCUUGUUGGCCUGUAUUUAUUACUCCAUGUAAUCUCUCACCUAAAAUGUGCAUGAAAAGUCCCUACAUAUUUCUAAGUUGUAUUAUUCCAGGUCCCCGCAAUCCAAAAAGUUUGGUCGAUGUAUUUCUCUAGCCAUUGAUAGAUGAAUUACUACAAUUAUGGCAUGAAGGUGUAGCGACAUAUGAUAUAUCAACUAAGCAGAAUUUUUUUAUGUGUGCAAAUUUAAUGUGGACUAUUAGCGAUUCUCCUUGCAAAUUUAAUGACUUGAGGCAGGAGGACGAAGUGGUGGUGAGGUUGGAUUCCCAAGAUAUUUGUAAGAGAUGGGUCUAUGAUUUAGGGGAAUGAAGAGAUUGAUGAGAAUGUCGCUAACCGUAUUGGAGCGGGCUAGAUAAAGUGAAGGCUCACCUCAAGAGUGUUGUGUGGCAGGAAGGUGCCCCUUAAUCUUAAAGGCAAAUUCUAUAGAUCACCUUAAGCUUAAAGGCAAAUUCUAUAGAGUGACAGUCUGUCCAGCCAUGCUGUAUGAAGCGGAGUGUUGGCCUAUCAAGAACUCCCAUAUUCAAAAAUUGAAGGUGGAGGAAAUGAGAAUGUUGCGCUGGAUAUGUGGGUUUACUAGAGGGGAUAGAGUUAGAAAUGAGAUUAUCCGGGAGAAGGUAGGAGUGGCUUCAGUGGAGGACAAGAUACGAGAUGAAAGGCUGAGAUAGUUUGGGCAUGUGAUGAGGAGGGGCAUGGAUGCCCCUGUUCGCAGGUAUGAGAGGCUAGCUUUAGAUGGCUUUAGGAGGAGUAGAGGCAAGCUGAAGAAAUACAGGAGAGAAGUAAUUAGACAUGACAUGGAGCAGCUUCAGCUUACCAAGGGCAUGACCCUAGAUAGGAAGGUGUGGAGGUCACGGAUAAGGGUAGAACGCUAGGGUGAAUACGUGGGUUGUAGCAAGUAGUUAGGAGAGUCCCUAUUUAGCUGGGUUAGUAAUCGUAGGAUUGUGCCAAUAGGUAGGAGCCAUUUUCCAGGAGAGUUCGGGUGUGGUGGGUGGCUUUGGUCUGUGAGUGGAGGUUAUUACUAGGCGGGUGUCCUAUUUCUUAUUUCUUAUUGCUUAUGCCUCUUAGUUCCCCUAUUUCGUAUUGCUCUGAGUUCUAUUUUACUAUUUAUUAUUCUUUACUCUUGUUAAGCCACCCAUCCUUCUUCACAUUUCAUCACGACUUUGUUUACUAUUCUUUAUCUUGAGCCGGGGGUCUAUCGGAAACAACCUCUCUACUUCUUUGGAGGUAGCGGUAUGGACUGCAUACAUUUUACCCUCCCCAGAUCCCAUUGUGUGGGAAUACACUAGGCUUCUUCUUGUUGUUGUAUUAGCGAUUUUCCUGCAUAUAGGAUGUUGUCUGGUUGGAUGACUGCUGGAAUGUUAGCUUGACCAUAUUGCAUGGAAAAUAGUAAAGCAUUCACUUUAAAGUAUGGUCGAAAAAAUUGUUGGUUUGAUUGUCACCACCAGUUCUUACCAAUGGACCACGAGUUUAGAAGGAUGAAAAAUGCCUUAAAAAGAAUAAGAUUGAGAAUGAUCCGCCACCUCCAUUACUGUCAGGACAUUAGAUUUGGGACAGAGUUUGUAAUUUGCCUAAAGUUACAAAUGGUCCACCUUCUAGACUUCCUGGAUAUGGUGUUGAACAUAAUUGGACCAAACAAAGCAUAUUUUGGGAGUUGCCGUAUUGCAGGGGCAAUAAACUAAGGCAUACUCUUGAUUUGAUGCACAUUGAGAAAAAUUAUUUUGAUAAUUUAUUCAACACAGUUAUGGAUGUUAAGGGAAAGGCAAAAGAUAAUUCAAAAGUUCGAAUGGAUAUUAAAGAGUAUUGCAAGAGAAAGGAAUUGUGGUUGAAGGAAAAAGAAAAUGGUAAAUUGUUUAAGCCCAAGGCCAGUUUUUCAUUCACAUUAGAUGAGAAAUGGGAAAUAUAUGAGUGGGUUAAGAAUUUGAGGAUUCCCGAGGGCUAUGCUUCGAAUUUAGAAAAGCGAGCGGAUAUGGAAGAAGGGAAGUUGAUUGGUAUAAAAAACCAUGAUUGUCACGUUUUUAUGGAAACCUUGAUUCUAACGUAUUUAGCCACCUUCUUAAGAGGAUAUGGAAACCAAUCAUAGAGAUGAGUUUGUUCUUCAAAGAUUUGUGCUCGGGAAAGUUGUUGGAGUGUAGCUUGGACAGAAUGUAGCAGAAUAUUCCUGUCAUCACUACUAAGUUGGAGAAGAUCUUUCCAUGUGGCUUUUUUGAUGUGAUGGAGCAUCUUCCAAUUACCCUCGUAGAAGAGGCAUGACUUGGAGGCCCAGUUCAAAUGAGUUGGAUGUAUCCAGAAGAGAGGUAAAUUUUUUUAAAUUAUUUCCAUCAUUUUCUUAAGAAAAUUACUUUUAUCUACCUAAGAUAAAAUUAUGCAAACAAACUAUUAAGCAAAGGGGAAAGAUUGAAGAAUCGGUUGGUGAAGCUUAUCUUGCAAAAAAACUGUUUAUUUUUGUUCUUACUACUUUGGGGAUGAAGUACCAUUUAAGAGAAAUAGGUCCAAUCGUAACGAUGAAGGUGAUGAUGAUCCUAUGUUUCCACCUAUAUCAAUUUUUACCAAUUCGAGUAAAGGGUCUAAAAGUUAUUGUACAUGAGCCCUCACUGGUAUGAAAAGAAAAUCUAUUAUGACACAUGUUUUGCUCAAUUUUCCACAGAUUCAACCAUAUCUUGAGUAAGUGUUAAUGAUGUUAUCGAAUUAUAUUAAUUUGUUAAGGACACUUCACUAAUUAAAAAAUCUUAAUGAUGUACACUUGACAAUUUAUUUAUUGGAAAUUGGGGUAAUGAUGUCAUAUAUACGAGGUUUUCCGAUUGACUUGAAGAAUAUGUAAGUAUGAAAGAUCAUAUAUGCAUUUACUAAAAUUAUAUAUAGGUCAUUUAAUAAAAUUUAUAUUUUGAUUUAACGAUAUGUAGGUUUUGGAUGAACAUAGUACCGUCGAACAUUUGCCAUUGGUGAGAGAUAUUAUAUUUGGUCCUGCAACUCAAAUUAGGACAAUGAAUAAACAUUGUGUGAAUGGUUUCAAGUUUCAAACUAAGAAAGUUUCUAAGUAUAAGAAAACUAAUAACAGUGGAGUGUGUGUUGAAGGUGAUGUCGAUGGUAAUGGUCAAAUCGUUGAAUAUUUUGGUGUCAUACAAGAGGUAUUAGAAGUUAGGUACCCUGGUUGGCCAAAAAAACAAAUAAUUCUAUUUUGGUGCAAGUAGUUUGAUCCAUCACAUAGAGGUACCAGGGUGAAUAACAACAUAAUAUAAUUGAAGUUAAGCACACGAGGCAAUAUAAUCGCUAUGAUCCCUUUAUCAUUGCACAAAAUGUAUAUUAUGCUAAAUAUCCAUUGCGCAGAGAUAAAGCCAAUUGGUAGGUGGUUAUAAAAACUAAGCUUGUGGGGAGAAUUAAGAUUGAGAAUGUGUCAGAUAUGGCAUACCAGAACGAAGUUGCAGUUGUUGAUCAAAUAGUAGAUGAUGAGUCGGAAAAUAAUCUCAAACAUCCUCAACGCAUAUUAGAAGAAGUUUCUGAUAAUGAGAUCAUUGACAUCGCAAAUAUUGUGGAAGAAAUAGACAAGGGAAAUGAAUCAUUCUGGGAGGACGAAUGGGACCAUGAAAAUGAAACAAUGGAUGAGGAAAAAUGGGAGAAUACUGAAAAUGUAACAAGCGAUGAGGAAGAUUGAGAGAAUAUAGAUUAGCUUGUUAGUUUUUUAUAUGCUAAUGAUGUAACUAAGAAUGGGAUUCUUGCUAAUUUUGUUGUUGUUUAAGUUUAUAUUGUUAAUUAUUGUGUUUUGAGAAUAUUUUUUGUCGGUUCUAAGUAAUUUGGCUUCAGGUUUAGUGUAUUGUAUUUGGACAUGAUAUGUUUGUUAUAUAUUUUCCUCUUCUCUUUGAUUAUUGUAAGCUUGCAUUUCUCUGGAUAUGGAUUAUAUAUAUAUAUAAAUUGUACUAUUCUGUCCUACCGUGUUAUGGAUAUGGAGUAUAGCUGGAUAAUCUUUUGUUUAGUGCUUCUUCUAUGUCGUGUUUUAUGCAUUUUCUAUUAUGUUUUCUUUGAAAUAUGGUAGGAUGAAUCUAUAAUACCCCGUACUUUUCUUAGCUCAGUUUAACUCCUAGAAUGUCAAGGGUUAGCUUCAUAAAUGAAUUACUCUUGAUACAUGAAGAAUUUUCUAGGUUUAAACCCUCUAAUAUGUAGAUAAUUGGAUCAAUUUUCCAACAAUAUGAAUUUCGCCUCAAUUCGAUACUCGGUUGAGAAGUUAUGGUGAUUUUAGUUAAAAUAGUAGGCCAUUUCAACAGGCACUACAUCGUGGUGAAAGGCAGAAUCGCAAUUGUUCGAUUCGAGUGAAGCACCGUGAUUGGCUCGCGUCACGGUGAAGUUCCAGUUCCUGCUCCUCCCUUUUCUAGUAGCCUAACACGAUUUCACCGCAUCGCGCCAUAGUGCAAAAUAACACUCUUUUUUUCCAGUAUGGCACCGCGAUAGGCAUCGCGUCGUGCCGAGUGACAAAAUCGCCUUCCUAUUUUUCGAAGUUGAUUUUUAAAGGGGUAGUUUAGUCUUUUUCCAAGUCCCAAUUCGUGAAUAACACUGAAUUAAUCCUAUUCUAACCAUUAUAUGCUCAUUUUUCAUCAACUUUCUCUCAAAGAAACCCUAGAAUAUCAAAACUUCAUUCCCAAGAAAUCCAAAUUUCACCAUUCUUUCUCCAAAGAAACUCAAAAUUCAAGAUUCCCAAUUCAAGAGCUUCAAGAAUCUAUCUUCAAGGGCACCAAUAGGAACACAAAGUCCAAGUUUCUUCCUUUGUUCAUCAAUUAAGGUAUGUAGGGUUUUCAACAAGGAUAAUCCUUUCAUCCUUGUGCCCAAAAUUAGUUUUUGAAGAUAAUCUUACAUGAGUUUUGAAUUAGGGUUCAUACCCAAUAUUGUUACUUGCAAGAUUAUGAGAUUUCAAGUGAUUUUGACGUUGAAUUGCAUGCUUACUAAUGUAUUUUCAUGCGUAUUUCAAUAAUUUCCAGAUUUAGACUUGAAUUAUCAAUAUUUUCAUUACUUAACAUGAGUUUUAUGAUGAUUUGACAUGAAAUAGAUGCAUGGGUUAUUAGCCCUAGUUUGAAUGGUGAUAUUUCAAGAAGAUUAUACUUUUAAGCAUCCCAUGACUUGUUAUAUUCAGAUUUUGAACAAAGAUUUGAUCUUUUGAUCUCAGCUUAGAUAUUGAAUUCACUUUACAGAUUUAGCUACAGUUACAGUAAACAGAUUUACAAGAGAUUUCCAUUGUAAUCCCUUAUAUUAGUUUUAAAAGUGGAUUUCCAACAGAAUGAGAAUACAGAUUAAAAGGAGUAGUAUUUAGCACUAAGUUGGGUAUGUUCACAUGCCCCGGAACUACGAGCCAGCGUAGGUUCAGAUUAUCAGAUUAUUUCCAUUUCUAUAUGGGUAAAGUUAGAAAAGUAAAGCCAGCCAUUAGCAUUUCUGUUAGAGCCCGCCUACUUGUAAGCUAAUCUAGUCCAUUUCUAGUUUUUCUACCCUCGAACCAGUGCUAAGAUAAUCCCAUCAAGAAGUGGAAGGAAAGCUAAUUCCACAAUCGUCUUUAGGUCGCCAACAACUCAAUCGUCUUUAGGUGGCCUAUCAUAGUUAUAGAUGUGAUCACUUAGAUUAGGUUAUACUCCUUGGAAAUAGUAUGACACCUCUUCCCAAUGUGAGAUUUUCCCAUAAGGGAACUAGACAUUGGACGCUAUGAUAGCUCACAUAGUGUAUGCCGGUUAGAAGAACCUCCUUAACUGUAAUGACUUACGGAAUAGUUAUUUUUAAAAGGAUUUCACAACCUAUAGAAAAGAAUAACAGAAAAAGCUUUUAGAACUAAGUGUAAAGGCUCACAGCUUUACUCAGAUGUUGCUUUAUGAAAGACAUUAGCUACAGAUUUCAGUUUUCAGAUUUCAGAUAUAAAAGUGAGUCCUUUCUACAUUUAGACAGCAUGAUUUAAAGAUAGAAUACAAGUACAACUUUUAGAAACUAAAUGUUAUGACUUUCUAGAUCUAUGCAACAUGUUUUGCUAUUCAUGAUUAUGAUUUUCAGUUUUCAGAUAUUCCGGCUUAUGUGAGUCAUCUACAUUUAGCAUGCAUUCUUUUACAAAUUUAUAAUAAUAUUGAGAUAUUGAUUUACUUGUGCAUUCACCCCCAUAUACUCAAUACAAUCCAGAAGUACUGAUCCACAUAUACGUCUAUGUGCUACAUUGUCUCAUAAUGUAGGUUCAGGUGCUCAUUUCCAGCAGCGUGAGUGAUUUCGAGCAUCUCCAUCUACAUCCCGAUCGUUGGUGAGUCCCUCAUAGUUCGGAGGCUUGGUCAUUCAGUUUUUUAGCUUAUUAGUAUAAGAUGAUUCAGUAUUUUCAAACAGUUCGAGUCAGCUGGGGGUUUGUCCCAGUGACUCUCUAGCAUUAGAAGUAGAGACUUGUUAGACUGCUAGAUAGAUAUACUUCAGAUUUUCAGUAUUGAUUGAUCAGACUCUUGAGUUAGUAUUUUCAGAUAUUAUAUUCAGACAGUUUCAGCUUAGCUCAUACAGAAUUUCGCAUUUUAGCUUGAUUUUAUAUAUCCAUACUUCCCUAUUAUGAGUUUCAGAUUUAGUAGAUGGCUUGCAGGGUUAGCUUAAGGAUACUCAUAGUCUUGAGCACCGUGUGACUUCUCAGAACUCUUUUUUGGGGCAUUACAGAAUCCCUAAGCUUGCUUGCGUUCUUUAUUAGAUGUAUGUUUUGCAUCGUAGCGCUACGAUGCAUUUCAGCAAAAGGGUGACUUCCAAAAGGGUGACUUCGUUUUCUUUCAUAGUCAGUU